rnacentral:rRNA from 1 species
GGUGAGUCGGGUCCUAAGGCGAGGCCGACAGGCGUAGUCGAAUGGAUGAACGGGUGGAUAUUCCCGUACCGACCAUGGACCGGCAAAACCGAGACGGUGAGUACUAACCUCCGCCUCGUGGUGGUUCCUUCCUUCGGGUUGGUGUCGCCGCGUGGUGUUGGGACUGUAGCCGCAGUAGGUCAGCGCAGGGGUGACACGGAAUGGGAGCCGGCCGCGGAGGUGGUUUUCCGUGGUCAAGCACGCAGCCAGUCAUGUAGGCAAAUCCGCAUGGCGUGCAUGGCGAGGUGUGAUGAUGGGAGCCUUUCGGGCUCGAUAUCCGGUUGUCCAGGCCGUCGAGAAAAGCCUCGGCGUGAGGGCCAUGGCCGCCCGUACCCCAAACCGACACUGGUGGUCAGGUAGAGAAUACCAAGGCGAUCGAGCGAAUCCUGGUCAAGGAACUCGGCAAAUCACUCCCGUGCCUUCGGUAUAAGGGAGACCCACUGGGGUGAAGGACCUUGCGUCCGGAGCUUUGGUGGGUGGCACAGACCAGGGGGUAGCGACUGUUUACCAAAAACACAGGUGCAUGCGAAGGCGAAAGCCGCUGUAUAUGCACUGACGCCUGCCCGGUGCCGGAAGGUUAAGAGGAUCCGUCAAUCCCUUCGGGGACGAAGCGGUGAAUUCAAGCCCCGGUAAACGGCGGUGGUAACUAUAACCAUCCUAAGGUAGCGAAAUUCCUUGUCGGGUAAGUUCCGACCUGCACGAAUGGCGUAACGACUUCCCCACUGUCUCGACCAGGAGCUCGGCGAAAUUGCAGUACGAGUAAAGAUGCUCGUUAAGCGCAGAAGGACGAAAAGACCCCGGGACCUUUACUAUACCUUGGUAUUGGCGUUAGGCGCGGAUUGUGUAGCAUAGGCGGGAGGCUUCGAAGCGUGGGCGCCAGCUCAUGUGGAGCCGCAAGGUGAAAUACCGCUCUGUUCUCGUUUGACGUCUAACCUCGACAAGUCAUCCUUGUCAGGGACAGUGCCUGGCGGGUAGUUCAACUGGGGCGGUUGCCUCCCAAAGAGUAACGGAGGCGCUCAAAGGUCCGCUCAGCCCGGUUGGCAAUCGGGUGUCGAGUGUAAUCGCACAAGCGGGCUUGACUGCGAGGACGACGGUCCGAGCAGGGACGAAAGUCGGAGAUAGUGAUCCGGUGCCGGCGCACGGGCGCGGCAUCGCUCAACGGAUAAAAGGUACCCCGGGGAUAACAGGCUGAUCAUUCCCAAGAGUCCAUAUCGACGGGAUGGUUUGGCACCUCGAUGUCGGCUCGUCGCAUCCUGGGGCUGGAGCAGGUCCCAAGGGUUUGGCUGUUCGCCAAUUAAAGCGGCACGCGAGCUGGGUUCAG